rnacentral:lncRNA from 1 species
AUCUUUUCAACUCUAAACUUUUAAAUUUUGUACAUAGGGUAGUCUCUUUAUCUUCUUCCCAUUUCUUUAAUUUCAAAAUCUCUCCCUCCAUUUUCAAACUCUUCUUUGUGUGAACUACUUUUGUUCUAAACUUUGACCACUUUUGCAAAAAAGAUAGAAACUUUGGCCUUAUGCCAUUGCAUUUUUAAACUUCUUUUCUUAAAUCAAACUUGUAAAUGAACUUAAUAAUACUUGACUUAAACUUUCAAAAAGCCAAAAAU